rnacentral:rRNA from 1 species
CACACAGUACGGUCCCAACUAAACUUAAAGAACUUGGCGGUUUUCUAGAUCUCCUUGGAGGAGCUUGUCAUCUAAUUGAUAACCCUCAAGACACCUCACCUAUUCAAGAAUAACAGCUUGUAUACCAUCGUCGCCAGCUCACCUCAAAAGAGCGUGAGCCAAACGAACCAACCUCACAACGUCAGAUCAAGGUGCAGUCAAUGAAUAGGGGAUUGAUGAGCUACCAUACUUACAAAAUAGAGGAAGUAAAAAUGAAAAACCUACCAAAAGAUAAUGAAAUGGAAUCCUAAUAAUUAUUAUACCAGUGAAUUAGAAUUUAAAAUGAUCACACCCCGGAAGAUCUCGACA